rnacentral:rRNA from 1 species
GACGAACGCUGGCGGCAUGCUUAACACAUGCAAGUCGAACGGAAAGGCCCUGCUUUUGUGGGGUGCUCGAGUGGCGAACGGGUGAGUAACACGUGAGUAACCUGCCCUUGACUUUGGGAUAACUUCAGGAAACUGGGGCUAAUACCGGAUAGGAGCUCCUGCUGCAUGGUGGGGGUUGGAAAGUUUCGGCGGUUGGGGAUGGACUCGCGGCUUAUCAGCUUGUUGGUGGGGUAGUGGUAUACCAAGGCUUUGACGGGUAGCCGGCCUGAGAGGGUGACCGGCCACAUUAGGACUGAGAUAGGGCCCAGACUCCUACGGGAGGCAGCAGUGGGGAAUAUUGCACAAUGGGCGGAAGCCUGAUGCAGCAACGCCGCGUGCGGGAUGACGGCCUUCGGGUUGUAAACCGCUUUCGCCUGUGACGAAGCGUGAGUGACGGUAAUGGGUAAAGAAGCACCGGCUAACUACGUG